ensembl:lincRNA Gm15340 predicted gene 15340
CAAGCACAGAGAUACGUAAUCAACCAGGCAGCAGUCGUCACCCACACGGAGCCUUGCAGUGCUCUCUGACACCAAUUCCCACCUCACAGAACCUGGCCGCUUAGAGGGCUGAGUCCCGAUCAGAACAGGAAGUUCUCAGAAUCGGCACAAGUCUAAGCUCAGAUCAUCCAGAAAGCGAGGCAACUUCCAAAGCCUCCUGGGGACAUAAUCACAGGAGAAACCUAGUAACAGCAGAGUCACCGAAGGAUCGAGUGGAAAAACUGAUUGCAAUUAAUAAGCAACGAAGAAUGACCUGGUGUGACACUCUGAAGCUCCUGAUGGAUUGAGGACUCAAGCCCAGGUGAUCCCAAGAAAACACCAUUCCUGUGGAGGCAACACCAAGGGUAUUGUCUUGAUGUUCCCUAACAUUCGAACAUGAACCUGCCCAAACCUCUAGCUCUAACUGUGUUACAAGCAUACAGAAAAACCAAAUGGCAUCCAAGCAUGCUAGAGACAAUUUCGUGGCGACGUCAGCAACAAUACCACAUCUUCUACCCCCACGUACAAAACCACAGAGCCAGUGCAUUGGCUCCCUCAAAGGAACAAGGCAGGUUUGUUUGGAUCCCAACAUAAACAAACUGUUGAAAAAUAAAAUUGAUGUGAUAACCCAGGAAAUACACGUGCUGGCAAAAUACUCCGUGGUAUUUGAAGCAUUCUUUUUAUAU